rnacentral:tRNA from 1 species
AGGUAAAAUGGCCGAAAAAAGGUGCCGAGUUGUAGCCUCGGUUAUAGGGGAAAUGCCCUCUUUUUAUCAA